UAAUACGGGAGGCGCAAACGUUGCUCGGUAUCAUUGGGCUUAAAGCGCGCGUAGGCGGUUCGGUGGGUGCUGGGUGAAAGCCCCCGGCUUAACCGGGGAACCGCUCGGCAAACUGCCGGACUUGAGGAUCGGAGGGGGAAGCAGAACUCUGGGUGUAGCGGUGAAAUGCGGAGAUAUCCAGGGGAAUGCCGGCGGCGAAGGCGGCUUCCUGGCCGACUCCUGACGCUGCAGCGCGAAAGCUAGGGGAGCGAACGGGAUUAGAUACCCCGGUAGUCCUAGCCGUAAACUAUGGGCACUAGGUAGAGGAGCUUCCGAUGGCAUCUCUGCCGAAGCGCAAGCGAUAAGUGCCCCGCCUGGGGAGUACGGUCGCAAGGCUA
rnacentral:rRNA from 1 species